CCCUAUGGGGUGCACCAGGAUGCCACCGGGUUCCACAUCGCGCUCAAUCACAAGCACGUCAUCCGCGCCGGCUUGCUUGGCGGCGAUGGCGGCCGCGCCUCCACCCGGACCACUGCCAAUCACGACAACAUCAUAAAUGUUUUUCGCUAACAUGUUAGUCCUCCACCUCUUUGGUCGGCCUGUACAAAUACUCAGAGCCGUGUCCCCGUUUGGUCACUUCCGUGGGUGAAAUGCCCAGUUCGCGGGCCAGGAUGUUGACCACCCUUGGCAUGUCGAAACCGCCCUGGCAGCGCCCGGUGCCCAGCCAGGUGCGCCGCUUAAUCGCGUCGUAGGUGAUGGCGGGAGGGC
rnacentral:rRNA from 1 species